CGUGGCCAUACCACCUGUAGGGGAUUUUCUUACGAAAUCUAAGCUGUGGGAAAUGGGAAAUUGCGUAAAAAUCUGGGUUGGGUGAUUUAAAAAAAAAGCAGGGGCUGGGCAUAGGCAGUAAUAUAAGGCAAGAUGGCUAAGGAAGAAGGUGGGCAGCGGAGCCGGUGAAGGAAGCCGCAGGCGCGGAUGGAGGCGAAGAGAUCAGGAGCAGUAAAGGAACACUCUCUUCCCCAGUCAGCUGGGAUACGGAUUUUGUAAGGCCUAGGGACUUUGUCUUUGGAGGUCCUGUCUCCAUAAGAAAUUAGAAGAUUUUUGUGGAGCUCCCCUUUUCUGCAAAGGAUCGUGGGUCCUAGGCACUAUCGUACUGCAUCUAAUGGAGAAGUCACCCUUGUCCCCAAAAGAAUGGCAUCUUGUUUGUUUCCUCCUAUAAAUAAAUUUAUCCCUGAUUUCCAAGAACUCAUAACCUAGAUCAUCUCUGAUUUCACAUUUCCUGCUGCUCUUAUAGCUGCCCCCUGCUCAGGAAGAUAAAUAAAUAAAUAAAUAAGACAUAGGACAAUUUCUAAAUCAGAGUUUAAUGGUCUUUGAAUCUUAAAGGAUUUAUCA
rnacentral:lncRNA from 1 species